AACCAAAGUGUUGAGUUCAGUUCAGGGUGUUGCCCCUGUUCUGGUAAUUAAACUUUGGGACAGUGAGGGACUGGGAAGCGCACCAUGGUGACUGAAAGUUUGGUUUAUGCCACCUGUGUUUCUCAGCCUACAAAC
rfam:Charadrius vociferus contig50953, whole genome shotgun sequence.